UACGUAGGGUGCGAGCGUUGUCCGGAAUUAUUGGGCGUAAAGGGCUCGUAGGCGGUUUGUCGCGUCGGGAGUGAAAUCCACUGGCUUAACUGGUGGCUUGCUUUCGAUACGGGCAGACUGGAGGUAUGCAGGGGAGAACGGAAUUCCUGGUGUAGCGGUGAAAUGCGCAGAUAUCAGGAGGAACACCGAUGGCGAAGGCAGAUCUCUGGGCCGUAACUGACGCUGAGGAGCGAAAGCGUGGGGAGCGAACAGG
rnacentral:rRNA from 1 species